AUCGUCUGCCACGACGAUGGAGUAGCUCUGGGGCCCCUGCGCGUGACUCAGAGCCCUCCCUGCCCCUUGCCCUUGGUUCCAGGAAGCUCAGAAGCAAAUCUAUGGUGUCUACCUCUACAGCCCGUUGCUUUGCUUCGCUUCCUCUUCGUGCGUCUGUUGGUUCGUUUCAAUCACCUCGUGUGGGUCUUUGCUCUCGGUUCCACGCCUGCACCCAUCGAGGCAGACGAGCGGCGCGUGUGCAAGUCCGUCCCGCGAACCCACUUCCCGAGCGGCCCUCCGGCUCUUCCGGGGACGGACACCUGGUCGGUCCGAAUUGCUCCAUGUCCUCCCAGAGUCCCCACUCCGGCUUUAUUCUGAAGGUCACGAAGCAGUAUGUUGACCAAGAUCCCCACCCGUCCCCAGCCUGCUGGCCCUGGGAUGCCCUCAGCAGGGAGAUGAAGAGAAGACCGGAUUUCGAUUCCGUCUUGUGGACCCUUGACUAAUGUAACUUCCUGUGCGAAGAUGGUAACUAGGCGCCAUUUUGUCAAGGAGGAGUUUGGGAGGAUAAAGGAGCUUCUGGGGGCCACGCUGGUUCUUGUUCAGCAGCAGCCAACGAAAGCGCCCAGAGCAACAGGGGGAUACUUGAGAAGGUCAAUAUUUUUGGAAUAUAUAAUCUGUGAUAUCAGUUAUGUUAAAUAAGUACAAUAAGUAGACAAAUGAAAAAUUUUGUUGUGAAAUGUGAUCACAUAGAUGGGCUAAAUAUUUCUGGCCUCCCCAAAUUUGCAUGGGGAGAUCCUCACCCCCACUGUAUUCAGAGGCAGGGCCUCUGGGAGGCCAGUAGGUCAUGAGGAUGAGGCCCCAUGAGUGGGAUCGGGGCCCUCAUGGAUGUGGUCCCCCACCCCUGCAGUGCUUCCUGGCCUCUGGCCCCAUGUGAGGACACAGGGGAAGGCAGCCAUCUGUGCACUGGGAAGAAGGAAGCUCCCAGAAGGUGCAGGAGCCUUGAGCUCAGUACCCCCAGACUCCAGAACUGAGAAAUGCUUGCUGUUUGAACGUCUGGUCUACGUUGAAGUCGUCUGAAUGAACUAAGGCAAGAAUUUGUCUUUCUUUUUUUUUUUUUUCUUUUUUUUUUUAAGUUUUAAGAGGGUUGACCCUGUGCUCAGGACGUUGAUGGUGCUUCCGGAAUGUGUCAGGAAGAUUCUGGGCAUACUAGGACUCAGGGGCCAUGAGCCCGCUUUGCAGAGGAGGCGUGGAGUUCGAGCGUGUCCUUCCGAGUCACACGGUGGCCAGGAGCCCGCCAGGAUGUGGGAGAAGGGACGGAGAGAAGUCCAGGAUGCAGGAGAGGGGAUGGUCUCCUGCACGCCCUCCCGCUGAGCAGCUGGGCUGGACCCUGUGCAGUACUGAUGUAGGAACGAAGUUAGGAUUCCAAGUUGACGGCCGAAAAGGAAUUCUUGAGACAUCGUUGGCGCAAAAAAGUGGUUUUAUUAAAGCACGGGGACAGGACCCGUGGGCAGAAAGAGCUGCCCUGGGAUCAUGAGGAGUGGCCCUUGAUAUACUUUCAAGGUGGGCGGGGGUCAGGGAGAGCGUAAGUCUCUAAGGCAUUUUGGAAGCUAGGUUUCCAGGACCUUGAGGGGGCUCACUACUGUUGGGAAAAGGUCAUUUAUUACUAAUAAAAUCUGAGUCAUGAGACCCUUCA
ensembl:lncRNA